CUUUAAGAUUUAGAUGCACUAUUGUAAAGUGACUAUUCUACUGGAUGUCAUAAGGUGAAUGCACCAAUUUGUACGUCGCUCUGGAUAAGAGCGUCUGCUAAAUGACUUAAAUGUAAAUGUAAAUGUAGUAGUAGUAGUAGUAGUACAGUAGUAGUAGUAAAGUAGUAGUACAGUGGAGGUACAGUUGUUGUAGUAGUAGUAGUAGUAGUACAGUAGUAGUAGUACAGUAGUAGUAGUAGUAGUUGUACAGUAGUAGUAGUACAGUAGUAGUAGUAGUAGUAGUACAGUAGUAGUACUAGUAGUAGUAGUAGUAGUACAGUAGUAGUAGUAAAGUAGUAGUACAGUUGAGGUACAGUUGUUGUAGUUGUAGUAGUAGUAGUAGUAGUACAGUAGUAGUAGUACAGUAGUAGUAGUAGUAGUUGUACAGUAGUAGUAGUACAUUAGUAGUAGUAGUAGUACAGUAGUAGUAGUAGUAGUAGUAGUAGUAGUAGUAGUAGUUGUACAGUUGUAGUAGUACAGUAGUACAGUAGUAGUAGUACAGUAGUAAUAGUAGUAGUAGUAGUAGUAGUACAGUAGUAGUAGUAGUAGUAGUAGUACAGUAGUAGUAGUCGUACAGUAGUAGUAGUCAUACAGUAGUUGUAGUACAGUAGUGGUAGUAGUAGUAGAGUAGUAGUAGUAGUAGUAGUAGUAGUAGUAGUAGCUGUAGUACAGUAGUAGUAGUAAAGUAGUAGUACAGUUGAGGUACAGUUGUAGUAGUAGUAGUAGUAGUACAGUAGUAGUAGUAGUAGUAGUAGUUGUAGUAGUAGUACAGUAGUAGUAGUAAAGUAGUAGUAUAGUUGAAGUACAUUUGUAGUAGUAGUAGUAGCGGUAGUAGUACAGUAGUAGUAGUAUUAGUUGUACAGUAGUAGUAGUAUUAGUUGUACAGUAGUAGUAGUAGUAGUAGGAGUACUACAGUAGUAGUAGGAGUACUACAGUAGUAGUACAGUAGUAGUACAGUAGUAGUAGUAGUAGUAGUAGUAGUAGUCGUAGUAGUAGUAGUAGUAGUAGUACAGUAGUAGUAGUAAAGUAGUAGUACAGUUGAGGUACAGUUGUAGUAGUAGUAGUAGUACAGUAGUAGUAGUAAAGUACUAGUACAGUUGUAGUACAGUAGUAGUAGUACGUUAGUAGUAGUAAUAGCAGUAGUAGAAAUAGUUAAGUAGUGGUAGUAGUAGCAGCAAUAUAUUAGUAGUAGUAGUAGUACAGUACUGCUGUAGUAGUAGUGGUAGUAGUAGUAGUAGUAGUAGUAGUAGUAGUAGUAGUAGUAGUAGUAUAUUAGUAGUAGUAGUAGUGGCAGUAUAUUAGUAGUAGUAGUAGGAGCAGUAUAGUUGUAGUACAGUAGUACAUCAGUACAGUAGUAGUAGAACAGCAGUAGUAGUACAGUAGUAGUAGUAGUAGUAGUAGUAGUAGUAGUACUAGUAGUAGUAGUAGUAGUAGUAGCUGUAGUACAGUAGUAGUAGUAAAGUAGUACUACAGUUGAGGUACAGUUGUAGUAGUAGUAGUAGUAGUAGUAGUAGUACAGUAGUAGUAGUACAGUAGUAGUAGUAGUAGUAGUAGUAGUAGUAGUAGUAGUAGUAGUAGUAGUAGUAGAGUUGUAGGUACAGUUGUAGUAGUAGUAGUACAGUAGUAUUAGUUGUAGUAGUAGUAGUAGUAGUAGUAGUACAGUAGUAGUAGUGUAGUAGUAGUAGUACAGUAGUAGUAGUAGUAGUAGUAGUACAGUAGUAGUAGUAGUAGUAGUAGCAGUACGUUAGUAGUCGUAGUAGCAGUAUAUUAGUACUAUUAGCAGUAACAGUAUAUUAGUAGCAGUAGUAGUAGCAGUAUAUUAGUAGUAGUAGUACAGUAGUACAGUAGUAGUAGUACAGUAGUAGUACAGUAGUCGUACAGUAGUAGUAGUAGUAUAGUAGUAAAGAGUAUUGUAGUAGUACAGUAGUAAUAGUAGUAGUGUAGUAGUAAAGUAGUAGUACAGUAGUGUAGUAGUAGUAGUAGUAGUAUAUUAGUAGUAGUAGCUGUAGAUCAGUAGUAGUAGCAGUACAGUAGUAGUAGUAUUACAAUAGUAGUAGCAGUAUAUUAGCAGUAGUAGUAGUAUUAGUAGUAGCAACAGUAUAGCAGCAGUAUAUUAGUAGUAGUAGUAGUAGUAGCAGUUAGUAGUAGCAGUAUAUUAGUAGUUAUAGUAUUACUGUAGUAGUAGUAGUAGUAUCAGUAGUAGUAGCAGCAUUUUAGUUGUAAUAGUACAGUAGAAGUGGUAGAAUUAGUACAGUAGUAGUAGUAGUAGUAGUAGUAGUAGUAGUAAUACAGUUGAAGUAGCAGUAGUAGUAGUAGUAGUAGUAGUAUCAUUAGUAGUAGCAGUACAUUAGUACUAGUAGUACAGUAUAAGUCGUAGUAGUAGUAGUACAGUAGAAGUAGUAGUAGUAGAUGUGAUACAGUAGUAAAGUAGUGGUAUUAGUAGUGGUAGUAGUAGUUAAGAAGUGGUACAGUAGUAGUAGUAGUGGUAGCGGUAGUGGUAGUGGUAGUCAUAAUACUGUACUAGUAGUAUUAGUAGUAGUAGUGGUGAUAGCGGAAGUCGUAGUAUUUGUAAGUCGCUCUGGAUAAGAGCGUCUGCUAAAUGACUUAAAUGUAAAUGUAAAUGUACUGUAGUAGUAGUAGUAGUAGUAGUAGUAGUAGUAGUAGUAGUAGUGAUAGUGGUAGAAGUAGUACUGUAGUUUAAGUAGUAGUAAAUUAGUCGUAGUAGUCCAAUCGGCGUUGUAGUAGUAGUAGUAGUGGCGGUGAGAGUUGUAGUAGUAGUAGCAGUAGUAGUGGUAGUAGUUGUAGUAGCAGUAGUGGUAGAAGUGGUAGUAGUAGUAGUAGUAGCAGUGGUGGUAGAAGUGGUAGUAGUAGUAGUAGUAGUGGCGGUGAGAGUUGUAGUAGUAGUAGCAGUAGUAGUGGUAGUAGUUGUAGUAGCAGUAGUGGUAGAAGUGGUAGUAGUAGUAGUAGUAGCAGUGGUGGUAGAAGUGGUAGUAGUAGUAGUAGUAGUGGCGGUGAGAGUGGUAGUAGUAGCUGUAUUAGCACAGUAGUAGUUAAGAUGUGAUACAGUAGUAAAGUUGUGGUAUUAGUAGUGGUACAGUAGUGGUAAAGUAGUGGUAGUAGUAGUAGUUGUAAUAGUAGUAGUAGUAGUGGUAGUACUUCUGUUAGUAGUAUGUGUAAUAGUCGUAAUAGUAGAAGUAGUAGUAGUGGUAGUAGUAGUAUGAGCGGUAGUAGUUAUGUUAGUUGUAGUAGCAGUAGUAGUGGUCAUAGCGGUGGUGGUAGUAGUAGUAGUAGUAGUAGUAGUAGGUGUAAUAGUAGUAGUAGUUGUUGUAAUAGUAGUAGUGGUAGUAGUAGUAGCGGUAGUAGUUCUGUUAGUAGUAGUAGCAGUAGUUGUGGUCAUAGCAGUGGUAGUAAUAGUGGUUAUAGUAGCAGCGGUGAGAGAGCCGGGAGAGAGACGGAGAGAGAGACAUGUCUGAAAGAGUGAAGGGAGAGAGAGAUAAAAAUGGAGAUAGAGACUGAGAUAGCGGGACAGAGCAAGAGAAAGGGGAGAUAGAGACUGAGAUAGCGGGACAGAGCAAGAGAAAGGGGAGAUAGAUAAACACCAAAUAAUGAAUGCAGAGCAGAAUUAGGACAAUUCCCACCAAUUAUCAAAAUCCAGAAAACAGCAGUUAAAUUCCACAACCACUAAAAAAUGAGUCAUUUCUCAAACCUCCUGCCAAAUGUAUGACCAUAUUAGAGUGAAGUAUUUCCCUCAGAUUACACAGACCCACAAAGAAUUUGAAAACAAAACCAAUCUCAGUAACUCCCAAAUCGACAGUAUUAGGUGAAAUACCACGGUGUCACCACAGCAAAAGGAUUUGUGAUCUGUCGCCAGAAGAAAAGGACAACCAGUGAAGAACAAAUACCAUUGUAAAUACAACCUAUAUCUGUCUGUUUAUUUAUUUUCACUUUUGUACUUCAACUAUUUGCGCAUUGCUACAACAUUGCCAAUAAUAUAACAUUUGAAUUGUCUAUAUUCUAUAUAAGUGUAAUGUAAUACUGUUAAUAUUUGAUUGUUUAUUUCACACAGACAGCGUGGGGAAGAAGGCACAGCAGCGCCUCUUCAACCUCAGGAGGCUGAAGAAAUUCGGCUUGUCACCAAACACACUCACAAACUUCUACAGAUGCACAAUCGAUAACAUCCUGUCGGGCUGUAUCACCGCCUGGCACGGCAACUGCUCCGCCCACAACCAUAAGGCUCUCCAGAGGGUAGUGAGGUCUGCACAACGCAUCACCGGGGGCAAACUACCUGCCCUCCAGGACACCUACACCACCCGAUGUCGCAGAAAGGCCAUAAAGAUCAUCAAGGACAACAACCAGCCGAGCCACUGCCUGUUCACCCCGCUUUCAUCCAGAAGGCGAGGUCAGUACAGGUGCAUCAAAGCUGGGACCGAGAGACUGAAAAACAGCUUCUAUCUCAAGGCCAUCAGACUGUUAAACAGCCACCGCUAACAAUGAGUGGCUGCUGCCAACAUACUGACUCAUCUCUAGCCACUUCAAUAAUGAAAAAUUGUUGUAAUAAAUGUAUCACUAGCCACUUUAAACUAUGCCACUUUAUACACUGUUUACAUACCCUACAUUACUAAUCUCAUAUGUAUAUACUGUAAUCUAUGCCAUCUACUGCAUCUUGCCUAAGCCGUUCGGCCAUCGCUGAUUCAUAUAUUUUUAUGUAUAUAUUCUUAAUCAUUUCUUAACACUUGCUUGUAUUAGGUAGUUGUUGUGAAAUUGUUAGGUUUGAUUACUUGUUAGAUAUUACUGCAUGGUCGGAACUAGAAGCACAAGCAUUUCGCUACACUCGCAUCUGUUAACCAUGUGUAUGUGAAAAAUAAAAUUUGAUCUAUUUCACUUGCUUUGACAAUGUAAACAUAUGUAAACAACCUUGAACAGAAAGAGAGAGAAAACAUUGCUUUUUAAAACGUUUUUGAGUGUAAUAUUUACUGUUAAAUUCUAAUUGUUUUUUUUGUGUUGUUUGUUUUUUUUCUCACUUUUGUUUAUUGUUUAUUUCACUUGCUUUGGAAAUGUUAACACAUGUUUCCCAUGCCAAUAAAGCCCUUUUGUAAUUGAA